rnacentral:rRNA from 1 species
GUGAACGCUGGCGGUAGGCCUAACACCUGCAAGUCGAACGGCAGCACAGUAAGAGCUUGCUCUUACGGGUGGCGAGUGGCGGACGGGUGAGGAAUACAUCGGCAUCUACUUUUUCGUGGGGGAUCACGUAGGGAAACUUACGCUAAUACCGCAUACGACCUACGGGUGAAAGCAGGGGAUCUUCGGACCUUGCGCGAUUGAAUGAGCCGAUGUCGGAUUAGCUAGUUGGCGGGGUAAAGGCCCACCAAGGCGACGACCCGUAGCUGGUCUGAGAGGAUGAUCAGCCACACUGGAACUGAGACACGGUCCAGACUCCUACGGGAGGCAGCAGUGGGGAAUAUUGGACAAUGGGCGCAAGCCUGAUCCAGCCAUACCGCGUGGGUGAAGAAGGCCUUCGGGUUGUAAAGCCCUUUUGUUGGGAAAGAAAAGCAGCAGGUUAAUACCCCGCUGUUCUGACGGUACCCAAAGAAUAAGCACCGGCUAACUUCGUG